GAUGAACGCUGGCGGCGUGCCUAAUACAUGCGAGUCGAGCGAACGGACGAGAAGCUUGCUUCUCUGAUGUUAGCGGCGGACGGGUGAGUAACACGUGGAUAACCUACCUAUAAGACUGGGAUAACUUCGGAAAACCGGAGCUAAUACCGGAUAAUAUUUUGAACCGCAUGGUUCAAAAGUGAAAGACGGUCUUGCUGUCACUUAUAGAUGGAUCCGCGCUGCAUUAGCUAGUUGGUAAGGUAACGGCUUACCAAGGCAACGAUGCAUAGCCGACCUGAGAGGGUGAUCGGCCACACUGGAACUGAGACACGGUCCAGACUCCUACGGGAGGCAGCAGUAGGGAAUCUUCCGCAAUGGGCGAAAGCCUGACGGAGCAACGCCGCGUGAGUGAUGAAGGUCUUCGGAUCGUAAAACUCUGUUAUUAGGGAAGAACAUAUGUGUAAGUAACUGUGCACAUCUUGACGGUACCUAAUCAGAAAGCCACGGCUAACUACGUG
rnacentral:rRNA from 1 species